GGCCUUCAUGCUGUCCUUCAGCUCCUCCAAGGUGAUGCGCCCAUCUCCGUCGCUGUCAAACUGGAGGGGGGGAGGGGAUACCCCAUAAUGAAAAAGUGAAAACGUGCCUUCCGAAAGUAUUCAAGACCCUUUACUUUUUCCACACUUUGUUAAAUUGAUUGUUUUCCCUUAUCAAUCUAUGCACAAUAACCAAUAGUGACAAAGCAAAAAACAGGUUUUUAGAAAUGUUUGCUCGUAAAAAUGGAAAUAUCACAUUUACAUAAGUAUUCAGACCCUUUACUCAGUACUUUGCUGAAGCACCUUUGGCAGCAAUUACAGCCUUGAGUCUUCUUGAGUAUGAUUAUCAAGGAUUUCUGUACUUGGCCCCAUUCAUCUUUGCCUCGAUCCUGACUAGUCUCCCUGUCCCUGUCACGGAAAAACAUCCACACAGCAUGAUGCUGCUACCACCAUGCUUCACUGUAGGGAUGGUGCCAGGUUUCCUCCAGACGUGACGCUUGGCAUUCAGGCCAAGAGUUCAAUCUUGGCUUCAUCAGACCAAAGAAUCUUGUUUCUUUCUCAUGGGCUGAGAGUCAUCAGGUGCCCUUUGGCAAACUCCAAGCGGGCUGUCAUGUACCCUUUACUGACGAGUGGCUUUCAUCUGGCCACUCCACCACAAAGGUCUUAUUAUUGGAGUGCUGCAGAGAUGGUGGUCCUUCUGGAAGGUUCUCCCAUCUCCACAGAAGAACUCUAGAGCUCUGUCAAAGUGAACAUCGGGUCCUUGGUCAUCUCCCUGAACAAGGCCCUUCUCCCCCGAUUUCUCAGUUUGGCCGGGCGGCCAGCUCUAGGAAGAGUCUUGGUGGUUCCAAACUUCUUCCAUUUAAGUAUGAUGGAGGCCACUGUGUUCUUGGGGACCUUCAAUGCUGCAGACAUUUUUUGGUACCCUUACCCAGAUCUGUGCCUCGACACAAUCCUGUUAUCAAAUCAAAUCAAAUGUUAUUUGUCACAUACACAUGGUUAGCAGAUGUUAAUGCGAGUGUAGCGAAAUGCUUGUGCUUCUAGUUCCGACAGUGCAGUAAUGACCAACGAGUAAUCUAACCUAACAAUUUCACAACAACUACCUUAUACACACAAAUGUCAAUGGAUAAAGAACGGCAUAGGCAAGAUGCAGUAGAGAGUAUCGAGUACAGUAUAUACAUAUGAGAUGAGUAAUGUAGGGUAUGUAAACAUAUAAAAGUGGCAUUGUUUAAAGUGGCUAGUGAUACAUGUAUUACAUAAAGAUGGCAAGAUGCAGUAGAUGGUAUAGAGUACCGUAUAUACAUAUGAGAUGAGUAAUGUAGGGUAUGUAUUACAUUAUAUUAAGUGGCAUUGUUUAAAGUGGCUAGUGAUACAUUUUUCCAUUAUUAAAGUGGCUGGAAUUGACUCAGAAUGUUGGCAGCAGCCACUCAAUGUUAGUGGUGGCUGUUUAACAGUCUGAUGGCCUUGAGAUAGAAGCUGUUUUUCACUCUCUCUGUCCCUGCUUUGAUGCACCUGUACUGACCUCGCCUUCUGGAUGAUAGCAGGGUGAACAUGCAGUGGCUCGGGGGGUUGUUGUCCUUGAUGAGCUUUUUGGCCUUCCUGUGACAUCGGGUGGUGUAGGUGUCCUGGAGAGCAGGUAGUUUGCCCCCGGUGAUGCGUUGUGCAGACCUUACUACCCUCUGGAGAGCCUUACGGUUGUGGGCGGAGCAGUUGCCGUACCAGGCGGUGAUACAGCCCGACAAGAUGCUCUCGAUUGUGCAUCUGUAAAAGUUUUUGAGUGCUUUUGGUGACAAGCCGAAUUUCUUCAGCCUCCUGAGGUUGAAGAGGCGCUGCUGCGCCUUCUUCAUAACGCUGUCUGUGUGGGUGGACCAAUUCAGUUUGCCCGUGAUGUGUACACCGAGGAUCUUAAAACUUAAUACCCUCUCCACUACUGUCCCGUCGAUGUGAAUAGGGGGGUGCUCCCUCUGCUGUUUCCUGAAGUCCACAAUCAUCUCCUUUGUUUUGUUGACGUUGAGUGUGAGGUUAUUUUGCUCUGACAUGCACACUGUGGGACCUUAUAUAGACAGCUGUGUGCCUUAUUGUUACGUUCCCCAGUUUAUGUGUUGUAGUUUGUGUAUUUGCAUGUGUUUAUUUUAGGAAAUGGCUUCCUGAAAUCCCUCAAGCAGCUGAUUGGUCGACUCCAUGGCUAAUUGGAGAGCUGACCCCACCCCCUCGUCAAGACGCAGCUGUCUCCAAUUACCCAUUCAUUCUGAAGCUAUAUAAAUGCCAGUGUUCUGUUCAGGAGAGAGAGAUUUGCUGGGAGGUCAUUGCUGGGAGGUCAUUGCUGGGAGGUCAUUGCUGGGAGGUCAUUGCUGGGAGGUCAUUGCUGGGAGGUCAUUGCUGGGAGGUCAUUGCUGGGAGGUCAUUGCUGGGAGGUCAUUGCAAGAGAGAUUUUGCUAAAGAUUUUGCUGGGCUGAGAGUUGGUAUGUUUUGUGAGUUUGUUGCUCAGAUAGAGCUUAUUUGAUGUCCUUUGUUUCUUAGUUUGUUUGUGAAAUUGUUUAAUAUUCUGUUUCAUUUGUUCCCAGGGGGGGAAGGGGAAGGCACCUAGGGAGUGCUUAGGCAAGGGGCCCGCGGGCAUACAUAUACCCGUAGCAUAUUCGCUGUCUAGGCACACUAGGUAAGACCUGGGCGGACCACCCCCUUGUAUUUUGGUUAGGGCACCAGGUGGUGCUAAAUUAGGUAGGUAGGCAGGUAAGAUGGGAGAGGGGGGGCUUUGAGAUUUACUUUCUUUGCUUUGGUUCCGUCCAGCCCCUUUUCCCCAUAUUACCGUGUGAAGGAAUAAAGUCCUGGUAAACGGUA